AGAGUCUUUCUCUCCUUAUCCCCCGAGCAUUUCGGUCCCUCGUGAUUCGACUUCUCUUUCUGUAGUUUUAGUAUAGUAAGGUGAGCGCUGAAGCGCUGCACGAAUCUUUCUUAGAAAGAUUCAGCGACGAAGUUCUACCCCUGCAGAGCCCGACUCCUAGCUAAAAUCCCCUUGAAAGUUUCGUCAAAGGAAAUUAUUUUAAAGUAAACGAAGCGCUGUCCGAGUACCGAGUCACCACCUUCUCAGGUGUUGAUAUGAAGUCACAAUACACUGAGAGAUUUAAAGAGAUGUAGAUCACUAGUGUAAAUAAUUGGAACUAGUAGACAAGUACUCGCACCGGGAAUUCAGAAGAUGGAGCAGUAUAACUUCAAGUCUUAUUUUGUUAUUUGCUUAUGUAUUCUAUGUUUUGUGAACACACACUUCGUAAACACUUUCUUUCUAAUGAAAUGGUUGUUCAUUACUUUGAUUACUAUGAUGCAUGUCUUGCAAUACUAAACAUGACGUCCUCCACCCUCGAACGUUUCCGCCGUUCCGGUUUUGGGGUGUGACAUAACAUAAUCUAGUGGGCCGACUUUGGUGCCUUCGAUCCACGCGUACAGUACGGAAGACUCACCUCAAAGUCUAAAAGGUAGACGAACUGAUCACUGCUCUAAAUGCCGACUCUACAUAUCACAUAUACGACAAACAUGGACUAAGCCUCAAUCUAUUAAUAAAAAAUACCCCAAAUGACCUAAGGUCAAACUUUCUCAGAGUCAACGGUUAACGGUAAGAAGUUAAAGGUCAACCUUUAGUUGGUCGCCACGUUGUGGCCAUCCUUGGCCACGUCGUGGCAGAAAAACUUAAAGUGUAAAAAUAUGGUAAUGUAAUCGGUGAGAGGCCACAUCGAUGGAUGUAAUGGGUUUUAUUUGGCAAAAAUAGUAAAUAAAUUGAGUUUGUAUAACUUAAAGUGUAAUAUGGCCAAUUUAGAAUUGUGUAAUUCCGUUUA